UGUUCUGAACCUCAUUAUGAUGUAGACCUCACUGGCCUUGAAUGUACAGUGACCUUUCUCCUUGAAUGCUGGGAUUACCUGUGUGUUCUCAGCCUAGCUUCUGUGCAGUUCUCACCCAAAGUGCCAGUGGAAAUCUACAAACGCACCAGAAAGUUGGUGUGUGUUUUGGGGUUGUGUGUAAGAGACAGAGAUAGAUCUAAAGAUAGACAGACAGACAGACAAAGAUUGCAGGCGGAGUCUUCAGCUUUUAUCAAGAGGUCUACAAUGCUCAGAAGCUUGGAGACCUAGCCCCUUUGUGCACGGUGACAGUGAGUGAGUGGGUCGUGUUUCAGUUGUGAACAGACAACACCCAUUUCUUCAACAGACACCUGACUGUUAGAGCUCUCACUGGCAGGCAAACAGUAACCUCUGUUACGGGGAAGGGAGAAGCCGGGAGAAGAGCUAGAAAGACACAAGACAAAGGCUGGACGAUGAUGCCAGCCCUCAAGUUGACAACACAUUGAAUCCUUCCAUAGAGAGCUUCCUUCAACCCCUAAAAGGGAAACAGUUCACCAGACUGGAAACAGACGUACGAUCUCUGAACACAUUUUCAAUGAUAUGGAAAGAAGUCCAGAUGACUCUGCUGGGGGACAGACACUACUCAGAGAAUUGAGCAACUACCUCUCUCAUUGAAGGUUAUCCAUAUCUGUUGACUGACAGCCACCUCUGGAUGAAUGACCUUAGAGAUGGCCAGAAGAAUUAACCAGCUGAGCCCUGCCAAGGCGGCCUAACCUACCUACCUGGGAGUUAAAGGUUUGCAGCUGUGCGUGAUGGAGCUUCAUAGCUCUUUGUUGUGGAGAAUUACUAUGGCAAUGGGUAAUGGCUAACCAGGAGAUUGUACUCAUUAGUGGUACUCAUAACAAGUAUCAUUGCAAUAAAAAAGGUACUUAUUAUUUUCAAA